UCUGCAUUUCUCAAAAGCAUUGUAGACCAUCAAUGGUAUCAAUGGUCUCUACAGUGGUUUACAAUACUUUUUGGAAAUGAAGCCAAGGACUCUAACCUGAUCUUUUCAGCAGGCAAGUCUCCUUGAGACCAUCUUCAUCACCAAUAUCGUGUGCGGUUCCCGUGACUUGCCUCCCUUACCCAAGUGGCUCAGGAUUCUGGUCCUGAAAUAUCUUGCUCGACUUGCUUGUAUGAAGAAAUCAUGCGAUAAAAACUUUGAAGCAAACACAUCUGAGAGCACUUUCUACAAAAACACCAUGACUGAUAUUCCAAAGAAAGAACUUGUUGGUGCAAGUCCAGUGAGAGUCUGGGAACAAUGCCUUGAUGAAAUGAAGAAGAUGAGUACGGAUUUACUGGCCAUCCGUCACCAAGUUGAAGAGCACUUCAGUCAUGACAACAGAACAGAUGACUGGUUCAUGUUUGGUCAGGUCAUUGACCGUGUGCUCUUUAUAAUGUAUAGCCUCUUUAUCGUUGUGAGUUUAAGCACAAUUAUGGUUCUGUGGCUGUACUCCUACAGUCUAGACAAAAGGUCGUAAUUUAUUCUUGCCUGCUCUGUAAACUGAUGACAGCAAAACUCUGAUGAUGGCAUGAUUUAUUUCUGAUGUAAUGCAAGGGAUGUUCAACUAAAUACUCUAGCUUUGCACUCUUUAUUGGGGCUUUAAAGGGGUAGUUCACCAAAAAUUAAAUUUCUGUCAUUUACUCGCCCU